AACAUAGAAGUAAAGAUUACACUUAGUUUCGACCUAAACUCUAGGAUUUAUACUCCUCAUGUUU
rnacentral:tRNA from 1 species